rnacentral:rRNA from 1 species
UACGAAGGGUGCAAGCGUUAAUCGGAAUUACUGGGCGUAAAGCGUGCGUAGGCGGUUGUUUAAGUCUGCUGUGAAAGCCCCGAGCUCAACUUGGGAAUUGCAGUGGAUACUGGCAGGCUGGAGUACGGUAGAGGAAGGUGGAAUUCCCGGUGUAGCAGUGAAAUGCGUAGAGAUCGGGAGGAACACCAGUGGCGAAGGCGGCCUUCUGGACCAGUACUGACGCUCAUGCACGAAAGCGUGGGGAGCAAACAGG